CAUCGCCACGGGAAUACGUAGGUGGCAAGCGUUGUCCGGAAUUAUUGGGCGUAAAGGGCUCGCAGGCGGUUUCUUAAGUCUGAUGUGAAAGCCCCCGGCUCAACCGGGGAGGGUCAUUGGAAACUGGGAAACUUGAGUGCAGAAGAGGAGAGUGGAAUUCCACGUGUAGCGGUGAAAUGCGUAGAGAUGUGGAGGAACACCAGUGGCGAAGGCGACUCUCUGGUCUGUAACUGACGCUGAGGAGCGAAAGCGUGGGGAGCGAACAGGAUUAGAUACCCCAGUAGUCCCUGUCUCUUAUACC
rnacentral:rRNA from 1 species